rnacentral:rRNA from 1 species
AUUGAACGCUGGCGGCAGGCCUAACACAUGCAAGUCGAACGAGUGGCGGACGGGUGAGUAAUGUCUGGGAAACUGCCUGAUGGAGGGGGAUAACUACUGGAAACGGUAGCUAAUACCGCAUACCAUCAGAUGUGCCCAGAUGGGAUUGGCUUGUUGGUGGGGUAACGGCUCACCAAGGCGACGAUCCCUAGCUGGGCUGAGAGGAUGACGAGCCACAGUGGAACGGGGACACGGCCCAGACUCCUACGGGAGGCAGAAGUGGGGAAUAUUGCACAAUGGGCGAAAGCCUGAUGCAGCCAUGCGGCGUGUAUGAGGAAGGCCUUCGGGUUGUAAAGUACGUUCAGCGGGGAGGCGUUACCCGCAGAAGAAGCACCGGCUAACUCCGUGCCAGCAGCCGCGGUAAUUC